AUCAGUCUCCCGUCGCGCCAUUUCGUUGCGGUAAAAGCCGCCAGAUGGCAGUUUAGGAUUGCUUCUCUCAGGAAAGGCGCGGUUCUGUUUCAGGUCUAAUUUACAAUAUAAAAACAUAAACUAUUAGGUCAAUUAAUCGCGCCAAUUAUUACUGACGCGUGUCCCGGAGGACCCCUUUUAGCGGUUGAGGUUAUGUGGUCUGAAGCAUUCUGGGGCUGAACUAAGGAAUCGCGAACGCUUUCACGCCACUUCUGUGUGAUCCAUCUUUAGAAGUCUCCAAGUUUUGUCAGAAGACACAACAUGAUCAACUCAGACUUUCCUAUGUUGCAGGACUCGUCAAAUGACGGGCAAGGCGACACUGUGAGUCUGAGCAUGAGUGUUAGUGAGCUGGAUGAUUCUGGGGAAGGAAAGGGCAAGAAAAAGAGAGGCAGGCCUGGAAAACAAGGAGCGGCCAGUAAGAAGGCCCGAAG